rnacentral:lncRNA from 1 species
UCACAGCCAAUAUUGCUGGAGAAGAGACCAAAGCUCAAAGAACUCAACGGUGUGCAAGAAACGACGCAAGGGUAGAGCGCCGCCGCCACCUUGCAGUGGACCUACCAAUCAUGAACCUGGAUAAUGCUUUUGAAGCAGUUCAAAUGCGUCACCAUCGUAGUACCCUCGCCACCAUCGCAUCUAUUGAUCUCAUUACAAGUGCCAUGUCGCAGAACAAGUACACCAGACAGUUGGCUGAACUGGCAGAAUGCGCGUACGAACAACUUGAUCAACAAAAUCUGAUACAAUCAGUCCAACACACCCCAUCCCAGUGCACUCAACAUGACAGUAGUCACAUAGGCCCUCCG